rnacentral:rRNA from 1 species
UACGUAGGGGGCAAGCGUUGUCCGGAAUCAUUGGGCGUAAAGCGCGUGUAGGCGGUUUGGUAAGUCCGCUCUGAAAGUCCGGGGCUCAACCCCGGAAGGCGGGUGGAUACUGUCAGACUAGAGUGCGGAAGAGGCGAGUGGAAUUUACGGUGUAGCGGUGAAAUGCGUAGAUAUCGUAAGGAAGACCAGUGGCGAAGGCGGGUCUCUGGACA